GUUGUACGUGAACUGACAGGUGCUCUCCAGCUGGCUUCAACAGGAAAUUGAAAGUCGAUGCUAAGCUAGAGCUAGUAGGUGAAGAACAGCGUUUUCUAUGCUGCGCCUGCUCUGAUUGGAUUAUUUUUCAAAACGGAAACAUUUCUUAAAACUGGACUUCCGGUUCACACAGAAGAUGAUUAGUGAUGGAAGACCAACGCCGGAGCUAAGACGUUAGCUUUAAACUACGGGGCAGAAGAGUCUUUUUUUAUCAAAUGGAGUGGUACAAACGAAAAGACUGGCUGUGUGUCUGUCCUGUUAGAAACCGCCAUUACUGGUUUCCUUAUCUUUUACUCUUAUCGUGUGAUAACGUCCGGACUAACUCGGCAUUGGAUGAACAACGGACACUAAACAUUAGCAUCACAAUGCUAAGGUGAAGGAAAACCGAGAGAUACAACCAUGGACUUCAUCUAUAAGUAAAGUUAAGACUGUUCUGACCCAGGGAUGGAGCACAAAGAAAGAAACCCUAGGCUUCCAAUAUGGGCAGCAUCCAAUAUCCAAAUAUGGCUGGAGCUGGACAGUGACUAACGACACUCCCAGUCAGUCAAACACUUAUCACCACACAGGUAACACACAGGCCUGGAAAUGACUGACAUGAAAUGGAAACGUCUCUCAUUCUGUGGGCCCAGGAGCUGAAGUGAAAUAUUAGCUGUGGGGGAGAGAUGGCGGACGAUAAGGAGCUCCCCGUUUGGGCUGGAAUUGUGGAGGUCCGAGUUCCAUUACAUUUCUUUUAUCCGACGCUGCAGUGGUACGAAGACGCCGUCUAAUCCAGAAGAAAGCUCCAACUCGUCACCUCGUGUAUUUGGAGAUUGCAGAUUUAAAACCAACCUUUGUCCAAUAAUGUACGUUUACAUGUUUAGACCUAAAAACAAAGUAAUACUAUAUAAAUUCAUGGUCUAGGAAAGAUAACUGCACAAUUCUCAAGUUGCAGUAUCAGUAAAAGUAAAAUAUCAGUGGGUAGGAGGUGAUUCCAGGAGUCACAAAGGGAAACGCUUCGUCGCUCAGUUACUGGGGACAGUUAAGCAACAGCUGAACUAAAAGUAUAGAUUUAAUAGAUUUUUUAUUUACCUUCGUAAAACAGAACUAUAAAGGGAAGAAAUAUGGGGCCUAGAAUUGAACCCUGUGGAACUCCACAAAACAGGCUGCAGAUCUAUAACUGUCUCUGAAGGUUAAUGGAAACUACUGGUAGUCACGUUAGACUGGGUGACGGGGGCUUUAAGGUCAAUUUUUUUUUCUGACUGUAUAUACUGAUUUAUAGCUACUCGUUUUUUGACGAUGUCGUCUCUUUCCGGACUAUGAGCUGCAAACAACACUUGACCAAUGUGGUAAAACGUCCUCUGUAGCCACCAACGCUAACAACAUCAAUUGUGAAACUGCCAAGUCAUAAGAAAAGUCAGACGGCGACUAACUUCGCAGUCUGUCAGCACGGCGGUGGCACAGACAGUUGGCAGAAGGAUAUGGAGUCAAACCGAGAAAGUCUGUGGACCAGACGAGACGGGUUCACGGGUCUGUUUGUAACCGCAGGACGUGUGCGUUACACCAGUGAAAGCGCACUCUCAACACUUUCCCACAUUGGGGACACUACACUUGUUGAUCUCUUUAUGGAUUGCUGCAUCAUUGUUUUAAAUCUACAACUGAAACUGCUGAGUCAUUUCUCUGCAGCAAACG